GACCACCAAAGAGACAGCAUGUAACUUGCCCAGCUGAGAAAGCUGUUGGUAGAUCUGAUGGAGACUUCUCAGCUACUUGUCCAUCACCAACUCUGUCUGCCUGGGCACUACCAUGCUGAUAAUGGACUAAAGUUCUGAAACUAGCUACCAACCCAGAUAGUUUUCGAGUCCCACCAUCCAAAAUACACCAUGGGAAGCAUGACCAACCACCUCUAGGCCCGUGUUCAGAAUGAGGCAUCUUUGAGGACUUCAUCCUUCAAGCUGCUUCUAAUCAGCUGAGACUCUUGAAGAGGCCAUCACAGCUUUUCUGCGCUCAUUUUUCUUCUCUUCUCAAAGAGAGGAACUGGAUGAAGCCUAGAGCCAGGCUCCAGUCUAAACUGCCAUGGUUAGCUCGGAGACUCUCCUUGCAGGAACCUGCAAUGCUUUUUCUUCUGGGCUGGAUGGGAAAACUGUGUGUGCUCUGCUGCUCAGCAGGAAAACGAGGCCA